UACAGAGGGUGCAAGCGUUAAUCGGAUUUACUGGGCGUAAAGGGUGUGUAGGUGGCGCCGUAAGUCAGGUGUGAAAUUUCGGAGCUCAACUCCGAAACUGCAUUUGAUACUGCGGUGCUUGAGGACUGGAGAGGAGACUGGAAUUUACGGUGUAGCAGUGAAAUGCGUAGAUAUCGUAAGGAAGACCAGUGGCGAAGGCGGGUCUCUGGACAGUUCCUGACACUGAGACACGAAGGCCAGGGGAGCAAACGGG
rnacentral:rRNA from 1 species